GUCUUGGAAUGUAGAACAAGCAUCGUUCGAAUAAUUUAUUCAUGCGAAAAAGCAAAGACAGUUAAAAUCACCACUCGAUGUGCCGGUCCAACUACCAUAGUUGCUGGCUUCAUCACAUGACUAAUAACUUAUGAACAAAAGGGUCAGCCUUAUGUGUGCUAGAAGUUCUCGAACAAGCCAGCACACGAGCUGGAGUAAAUGCUCUUUUCAGUGUCUCCCAUUCCAUGAUGUAAA
rnacentral:misc_RNA from 1 species